ensembl:snRNA U1 U1 spliceosomal RNA
ACACUUUCCUGGCAGGGGAGAUACCAUGACAAUGAAGAUGGUUUUCCUAGGGCAAGGUUAUCCAUUGUACUCAAAUUGCAUUGACCCUUGUAAUUUCCCCAAAUACAGGGCAAUUGACUGCAGAAUUUGUUGUAGUGGUGGCCUCGUUUGUACUCUUCCC